rnacentral:siRNA from 1 species
CAAAAAAUGCUUAACAUUUGC